UAAAUAAAAGCCUAAUCUUCUUCUAACGUUCCUCCACCUCUUCCUUUUCUAUCUUUAUUGCUUGACAAAACCACAACACUUUUAUCAUCUCCAAAAAUCAAGAUGCAUACAUAGAAUGAAAAAGAAACUUAAAGAUGUGAAUUCGACGGAGCAUUAGGAUGAUACUCUAAUAUGGAGGGCUAAUAGUGAUGGGUUUUUUCCUGUCAUCUUUGUUAUAACUUGUUGCAGGAGUAGUUCAAGUGUAGGCUUGAUUACCAGGUGCUGCAAUCAUAGUAAAAGCUGCGACACAUGAUGAUGAUCUUAUUAGAUUAUAAAAUAACAUUUCAACGUCCACUUGGUCCCAAAAGGCACUUAUAUGUAAUCAAAGCUACCAAGUUCUCACCAUUGCUGGCAUUAUGUUUCUUAGGUUUAUAUUUCUUUAAUUAAGCUUGAGUUGAAUACUUUAGUGGAAACUAUAUUUAGUUUUUCUUUUGCACUUGGAAAUAAUGUUUCUGAUGAACUAUUGAAGGCAUUAUGAUGUGAUUCUGGACAUCCUCAAACCUGUCACUAGAAAAAAUAAGCUACUUGUAAAGUUACCAUGUCAAAUGUCAAUUAUGUUACAUAUUUUUAUGGAAUAUUUUUUUUUUCAUUUCA